GACGAACGCUGGCGGCGUGCUUAACACAUGCAAGUCGAACGGAAAGGCCCUGCGUUUGUGGGGUGCUCGAGUGGCGAUCGGGUGAGUAACACGUGAGUAACCUGCCCUUGACUUUGGGAUAACUUCAGGAAACUGGGGCUAAUACCGGAUAGGAGCUCCUGCUGCAUGGUGGGGGUUGGAAAGUUUCGGCGGGUGGGGAUGGACGCGCGGCUUAUCAGCUUGUUGGUGGGGUAGUGGCUUACCAAGGCUUUGACGGGUAGCCGGCCUGAGAGGGUGACCGGCCACAUUGGGACUGAGAUACGGCCCAGACUCCUACGGGAGGCAGCAGUGGGGAAUAUUGCACAAUGGGCGGAAGCCUGAUGCAGCAACGCCGCGUGCGGGAUGACGGCCUUCGGGUUGUAAACCGCUUUCGCCUGUGACGAAGCGUGAGUGACGGUAAUGGGUAAAGAAGCACCGGCUAACUACGUG
rnacentral:rRNA from 1 species